AAAUGAAUAGACGGGGGCCCGCACAAGCAGUGGAGUAUGUGGUUUAAUUCGAAGCAACGCGAAGAACCUUACCAGGUCUUGACAUCCCAAGAACUUUUCGGAAACGAGAAGGUGCCUUCGGGAGCUUGGAGACAGGUGGUGCAUGGUUGUCGUCAGCUCGUGUCGUGAGAUGUUGGGUUAAGUCCCGCAACGAGCGCAACCCUUACCGUUAGUUGCUACGCAAGAGCACUCUAACGGGACUGCCGUUGACAAAACGGAGGAAGGUGGGGAUGACGUCAAAUCAUCAUGCCCCUUAUGACCUGGGCUACACACGUACUACAAUGGCGAUUAACAACGGGAAGCGAAGCGGCGACGCGGAGCCAAACCCCAAAAAUCGCCUCAGUUCGGAUUGCAGGCUGCAACUCGCCUGCAUGAAGUCGGAAUUGCUAGUAAUCGCGGAUCAGCAUGCCGCGGUGAAUACGUUCCCGGGCCUUGUACACACCGCCCGU
rnacentral:rRNA from 1 species